rnacentral:siRNA from 1 species
GGCAAAAUUCUUCUUAGGUCUUGA